rnacentral:lncRNA from 1 species
UAAAGAUGUGCCACAAGCCCGUAUUUCAUCACCUCCAACUUGACAGUCUUUGGUCUGCUCAAGGACGUGACACACAGCACAUGUUUUCCAAGCUCCUCUUUAUUGGGAUGGAUCUGGACUGUGAUCUGAACAUGAAAAGCAGCUCACUUUGGUUUGACCAGCUUUUCAUUGCUGUUCACUUUGAAAGUAACAAAUCCCAGCUGAAUAACCCAAAAUAAAUACAUAUUGACUCUGUGCUUUCACAGGACCAAACUCAGAGGCUUCAUUCAUGUUGGAUACAAAAUCUAAGAAUCAUGACAGGAUCUUAUUCCAUUUCAUUUUAGGCCCCACCUUGCAAUCAAAUGACACUCCAACUGAUACCUAUCCUUAUGAAUGAAAAACUCCAUUAAAAUGUAAUCAGCAUCUAUAAAGAUGACUCCACCUUCUGACGAGCAUCAUCUUUCUCUCAAGAUACUCCCUCCCUGUCUCUCUCUCAUUUUGAAUUUGCCAGUGCAGAAGUCAAGCAGAUUUCUCUGCGAUCGCUUCUGCAUUCUAUUUCUAAACAUCAUGACAAACCAUUGACAAAGUCGGUGAAAAUCCGAGUGGAAGGAUAUGCUGUAGGUUUCACACUUUUAGUGAACAUGGAUUAUUUCCAACAGCAUCAAUAAGUCAACACUGAGCUGAUAGCAAGCUCAUUUAAGACUACUGUACUCAUUUGUUUAAAAACUCUUCCUGGGUAAAAGAUAUAUACAAUUUUCUAUACAAAAAAUACAUUUUUUUCUGUAAACUGAUAUGUGUUUAGCGCACUCCACAUGUGGAAGUAAGUCAGGAACUCAGCUAACUCAUCUGAAUAGCUGCUAGAUACAGAAACGUGUUUGGUGGGAAUAAACACCUAUAUACUGUAGUGUCUAUACAGAAAUUCACUGUAAAAAAGUACAAAACAAAAACAAACAGGGUAGGGGAGAAUUAUGCUUAAAUAGUGGGGACACGUGGACUGUAAAUGUGACCAUGUUCAUCCUAACAAAGUACCACCCAGAGACCAAUGACGCUGCACCCCAGGGGCUGCCUGAGUCACGGUGUCGCCAUCAAAGUUCCUCCUGGAUCUGCAAAGUUCUUGCAGGCUCGGAAACCAUCAAAAGUCUGUGAUCCUUUCCACUUUGGGUGUCUUGAGGC